AUACGUAGGUGGCAAGCGUUGUCCGGAUUUAUUGGGCGUAAAGCGAGCGCAGGCGGUUCUUUAAGUCUGAUGUGAAAGCCCCCGGCUCAACCGGGGAGGGUCAUUGGAAACUGGAGGACUUGAGUGCAGAAGAGGAGAGUGGAAUUCCAUGUGUAGCGGUGAAAUGCGUAGAUAUAUGGAGGAACACCAGUGGCGAAGGCGGCUCUCUGGUCUGUAACUGACGCUGAGGCUCGAAAGCGUGGGGAGCAAACAGGAUUAGAUACCCUGGUAGUCCACGCCGUAAACGAUGAGUGCUAAGUGUUGGAGGGUUUCCGCCCUUCAGUGCUGCAGCUAACGCAUUAAGCACUCCGCCUGGGGAGUACGGCCGCAAGGCUGAAUCUCAAAGGAAUUGACGGGG
rnacentral:rRNA from 1 species